rnacentral:rRNA from 1 species
AUACGGAGGGUGCAAGCGUUAUCCGGAAUCACUGGGUUUAAAGGGUGCGUAGGCUGUCCGACAAGUCAGAGGUGAAAUACACGAGCUUAACUGGUGAAUUGCCUUUGAAACUGUCGAGCUAGAAUUGAGUUGAGGUCAGCGGAAUGUGACAUGUAGCGGUGAAAUGCAUAGAUAUGUCAUAGAACACCAAUUGCGUAGGCAGCUGGCUAGGCUUAAAUUGACGCUGAGGCACGAAAGCGUGGGGAGCGAACAGGAUUAGAUACCCUAGUAGUCC